rnacentral:rRNA from 1 species
CCCCUAGAUGUUCUGGGCCGCACGCGCGCUACACUGAACAGUUCAACAAGUCUUAACCUUGGCCGAUAGGUCUGGGUAAUCUUUGAACGCUGUUCGUGAUUGGGAUAGACCUUUGCAAUUAUGGGUCUUCAACGAGGAAUUCCUAGUAAACGCAAGUCAUCAGCCUGCAUUGAUUACGUCCCUGCCCUUUGUACACACCGCCCGUCGCACCUACCGAUUGAAUGGUCCGGUGAAAUCUCGGGACGGCGGCUUGGUCGCUUGCGUCCGACUGCUGAAACUUGAUUAAACCAUAUCAUUUAGAGGAAGGUGAANUCGUAACA